GACGUAGGUUGCGAGCGUUAUUCGGAUUCACUAGGCGUAAAGCGUGUGUAGGUGGAUGCCUAAGUCUGACGUGAAAUCUCCCGGCUUAACUGGGAGGGGUCGUUAGAUACUGGGCGUCUUGAGUUGGGUAGGGGGAACCGGAAUUCCAGGUGUAGCGGUGAAAUGCGCAGAUAUCUGGAGGAACACCGGCGGCGAAGGCGGGUUCCUGGGCCUUAACUGACACUGAGACGCGAAAGCGUGGGGAGCAAACAGG
rnacentral:rRNA from 1 species